rnacentral:rRNA from 1 species
CAACAGGGAUUGCCUUAGUAACGGCGAGUGAAGCGGCAAUAGCUCAAAUUUGAAAUCUGGCACUUGUGUCCGAGUUGUAAUUUGCAGAGGAUGAUUUUGGUUAGGUACCUUCCGAGUUCCUUGGAACAGGACGCCUUAGAGGGUGAGAGCCCCGUACGGUCGGAUGCCGAGCCUUUAUAAAUCUCCUUCGACGAGUCGAGUAGUUUGGGAAUGCUGCUCUAAAUGGGAGGUAAAUUUCUUCUAAAGCUAAAUACUGGCCAGAGACCGAUAGCGCACAAGUAGAGUGAUCGAAAGAUGAAAAGCACUUUGAAAAGAGGGUUAAAUAGCACGUGAAAUUGUUGAAAGGGAAGGAUUUAUGACCAGACUUUUUCUAGUAGAAUCAUCCGGUGUUCUCACCGGUGCACUUCUUCUAGUUUAGGCCACGCAUCGACUUUCGGAUAAGGAUAAAAGCUUUAGGAAUGUGACUCCUUCGGGAGUGUUAUAAGCCUAUUGUAUAAUACUUUUCUGGGGGUCGAGGUACGCGCUUCUGCAAGGAUGCUGGCGUAAUGGUUAUCAAUCACCCGUCUUGAAACACG